GAUGAACGCUAGCUACAGGCCUAACACAUGCAAGUCGAGGGGAAACGGCAUUUAGUGCUUGCACCGAAUGGACGUCGACCGGCGCACGGGUGAGUAACGCGUAUCCAACCUACCCAUUACUGUGGGAUAACCUGCCGAAAGGCAGACUAAUACCGCAUAGUCUUCGAUGACGGCAUCAGAUUUGAAGUAAAGAUUUAUCGGUAAUGGAUGGGGAUGCGUCUGAUUAGCUUGUUGGCGGGGUAACGGCCCACCAAGGCAACGAUCAGUAGGGGUUCUGAGAGGAAGGUCCCCCACAUUGGAACUGAGACACGGUCCAAACUCCUACGGGAGGCAGCAGUGAGGAAUAUUGGUCAAUGGGCGUGAGCCUGAACCAGCCAAGUAGCGUGCAGGAUGACGGCCCUAUGGGUUGUAAACUGCUUUUGUAUGGGGAUAAAGUCAAUCACGUGUGAUUGUUUGCAGGUACCAUACGAAUAAGGACCGGCUAAUUCCGUGCCAGCAGCCGCGGUAAUACGGAAGGUCCGGGCGUUAUCCGGAUUUAUUGGGUUUAAAGGGAGCGUAGGCCGGAGAUUAAGUGUGUUGUGAAAUGUAGACGCUCAACGUCUGACUUGCAGCGCAUACUGGUUUCCUUGAGUACGCACAACGUUGGCGGAAUUCGUCGUGUAGCGGUGAAAUGCUUAGAUAUGACGAAGAACUCCGAUUGCGAAGGCAGCUGACGGGAGCGCAACUGACGCUUAAGCUCGAAGGUGCGGGUAUCGAACAGG
rnacentral:rRNA from 1 species